UAUUAUCAUGUAGUUCCGUCUAGGCUCUUUCUGGAAGCUCUAGGGAGAAUCCACUGCCUCAUAUUUUGCAGCUUCUUGGGGCUGACUGCCUUCCCUGCCAGAGCCAGAAGUGUCCAGGUGUUACAAAUGCUAGUCCUUACCCUGGCCUGGGUGGCGGAUACAGAACCUGAACGGAGGUAUUCUCGUUCCCGCUUCCCUCCUGGAAUGCCCCCGUUUCCCCUGCAGCUGGACUUGCCUCGUCUUCCUCAGCACCUCCAACUCCUUUUCUGCAGCCACUCUCAGAUUCACACCGAUGGAUCUCCCCUCUUCAUUCUUUAUGCUGAAAUUUAUGUCUUCUCUUUUGUCCUAGCAAUAGUCUGGCUACAGUUUAUCUGUUUUAUCUUUCAAAUACUAGCUUUGGAUUUCAUUAACUAUUUCUAUUUUUAUUUUGAA